rnacentral:lncRNA from 1 species
GGGGGUCCGGGGAGGGCCGGCUCUGGCAUGGGAGGCCCUGCCCUUGCGGGCUGGCCUGGCAGGCUGGGUCAGCUGGGAGGUUCAGGGGCGCCGGGGAGCCAGCUGUGCUUGUCUCGCUGGGUGCUGGGUUUGCCUCCAGUUUCCUGGGUGGCACCAAAAAGUCUCGUGUUCUUCAUUUUGGUCCUGCCCGCUACUGAUACCACGUUCCCCACCAAAAAAACAUUCUUACCUUCUCCCUUUUAGGCUUCAUUUUUCAGGGUGUAAAGCCAUUAAGUGUUUCGGGUGCAGGGUAUGGAACAGGCUAGGGUGCUAUCGGUUGGCCAGAGCAAAAGGCCAAAGACUUUCCAGCCUGGGUUCUUAUUCUGGGACCUUCUGCCUUGUGGUUAGGAGGCUCUUAGCCAGGACCAGCCGUCCCCCCACCAGCAGCACAGCCUUCCUGCUGUGCCACAACGAUUGCCCCAUUGCAGAUGGGCAUGGGCCUCCCCGAAGCACGCAGGCGGGUGGCUCUCCUGGACCAGGGUCCACAGGCAGGUUAAUGAAACCCUGUCGUCUCCGGUCCCUGCAGGGCCCAAGUCACUGUUCCCAUGGAAAGAAACCAAGAUCCCUACAAGCUGGAUCUCUGGGGCUGCGUGGCAGCGUCUCUGUCUCUGCUCUCCGCGGAGCCCCUUUCCUGGGACAGAGGAGCCACGGAGAGCUUCGGGAUCCGUGCCAGGAACCCGAGGCCUCCCAGGGCUCCGCUGAGUGACGGGAAGGCCUGGCUGCUGUUCCAGCCCAGCCUGGGUGCCACGGUGCAGACAGUGGGCGCGGGGAGCACAUUCUGCACUUCGCUUGCAUUUUCCACCACCACAGUCUCUCUCGUCAUGCUCCCCAGUCAUUAUUCUUUCCAGAGGGCCUGAGCCGAGCCUCCAUCCAGGGACUGGCUCGGGGCUCACAUGGGGUGGGGCCUGGGGCUCUGAACCUUCUCUUGCUCAGACCCCAGAGAGGCUGCGACUGCAGGAGCCUCCUUGGUGG